rnacentral:misc_RNA from 1 species
AAGUCGUAACAAGGUUUCCGUAGGUGAACCUGCGGAAGGAUCAUUAAAGGUUUCGGGUACCCAGUGCCCAAACUUCAACCCUAUGUUUUAACUAUACAUGUUUCUUUGCCGGUUUCGGCCGGCAGAAGUUUUCUCAAACUCAUUAUUAAUGUGUCUUCUGAAUCAAAAUUAAAUAAAUUAAAACUUUCAACAACGGAUCUCUUGGUUCUG